rnacentral:tmRNA from 1 species
CCCGCUUCCCGGCCCGCCCGCCCGAGGCGGACCGCGGAGGCGUCGACGAUUCGGGCUGGUUCACCGGUUCACGCCGCGGAAUCGGGGAACGAGACACUCGCGUGGCUAGCCCCGGCAGGUCGGUUCACCGGAUCUGCCGGAGGUGAAGACAAUCGGUGAUCUACGCACGUAGAGGUCUCGCAGGAUCCAUUCGCGGACGCGGGUUCGACUCCCGCCGCCUCCACUC